rnacentral:lncRNA from 10 species
CAAGGAGUUGUCAGCAAACUGCCUGUAGGACUCAGACUACAAUUCUUUCCUGGGUCUCCAGUGCCAGCUUCACCUGAAGAUUUUGGACUUGACCCUCCAUGAUAGGGAACCACAUUCUACUUGUGUAGGAGCUGCGACAGUAACCAACUCAUCCUGCCCUACUCACAGUAUAGCAUCUUUAGGCAUUGACUACAAUCAGCCAAGUCACCGGCUGAGGGGAAGAACAAGAACCAACCUUGAACUAUGAUCUAAGACAAGGUGUCCAAUCUUUUGGCUUCCCUGGGCCCCAUUGAAAGAAGAAUUGUCUCGGGCUACAUAUAAAAUACACCAACACUAACGAUAACUGAUGAGCUUAAAAAAAAAAUCACAAACACACAAAUCUCAUAAGGUUCUAAGAAAGUUUACGAAUUUGUGUUGGGCGGCAUUCAAAGCCAUGCUAGGUCGUGUGUGGCCCAGGUGGGCCACAGGUUGAACAAGCUUGAUCUAAGAUAAAGUGGUUCUGACCUUCAGCCUAAAUUCCUCUCACUAGCAUUCGAGAUGGAAUGAGGUCAGGGCACACACUUUCAUGUUUUCUUGCUACAAAUUACUUGGAUGAGAAAUUUCCCUCUGAAAAUACUAAAAAAGUGAAGAGGAAAACAGCUACUUCACCCUUAAUUCUGACCAAGAAGGGAAAAUUGUGAACUAAAAGGCAGCCACAUGUUCCUUGGGAAAGAAACAAUCACAUGAUCUUCGUUUAAUUAGCCAGAUAAUAAAACCACGGAUUUGUUAGUCAAAAUAUAUUUGACUAUUCUGUGCCAGACAUUGUUCUAGGCACAGGAGAGAACAAGACAAAGACCCAUAGCCUCGGAUUGCUGACAUUUCUAUGUACAGAGAAAAAUAGACAAAUAAACAUUAAGAUUUCAACAUUUAUCCUAGAGUUUAGAAAAUCUAACUUUAAUUGUUUUUAGAAAUUUUUAAAAUCUAAAGUCCUAAUACCAGACAAAUGGUUCCAAUUUUUCUUUUUGAUUUUUAAAAAAUUUACAAUAAGAUACUUUGAAAAUGGAAACCUGGUUUUAAAGUGAAAAUGUAUUCAGUGACUAAUGAAAUUUCCAUGGGAACAGUGGAAAGAAUACUGUCACAAAGGAUAGUUGCCAUCUUUUGAUGGUUAUUUAAAGUCUUGGAUAUGUUAGAAAAUGUAUCGCAAUUUUAAAAUCAGUAUUCUUUGUUACUUUGUAUCAAUUCAAUUAAGGCAACAUCCUAUUCCAUAGUGAAAAUA